GGCGUUGCCGUGAGCUGUGGUGUAGGUUGAGGACAUGGCUCGGAUCUCAUGUUGCUGUGGCGUAGGACGGCAGCUACUGCUCCCAAUUCAUCCCCUAACCUAGGAACCUCCAUAUGUCACGGGGACAGCCCUAAAAAGACCAAAAACAAGGAUUUUAACAAGGAUUCCCUACAGAAUUUCUUGAGAGAGCAAACUUACCUGUUGCAUUUAUAGUAUGACUGAAUUUUACAGAAUUCCAAGUCUCAACUUUUCAGGAACAUCUCUAUGAAUGAAGCAGAAUAUUCCGGCACAUGCUUUGCCCUCUUUUUUGAUAUAAAUAUUUGAUGAACAGCAUACUUCAGCCCUAACUGUCUCCAAAUUCAGAAAGCAAAUAAAGAAAGGCUCCUGGCAUGUGGCCUAGGAGGGAAUCCUUGCCUCUUCUGCCUUUUCCUUCCGUUCACCUCCACGUCUCAGACUUGCUCCUGUGUCAUAAAUGUCAGGGGACUCAGGGACACCCACACCCAGCAGGUGAUAUCAAACAGGGCAGAGACCUGUGCACCUCCUGAACUCUGGACCCCGGUUUCUCCGCUUUCUUGAUGUCAAAGCAAUCAUUCACCUGCCUGAACCCAGGAUUCCUGGGCCCCAGGCACCUUCUCAGCUUUGUGUCUUCCAAGCUGGGCUUGUCCUAUUCUUCACUGUCUUGUGAUAAGCAGCUUAUACAAUGUUUUCAUUUUUUUAAAAAAAUUGAUGAUGUAUUUAUACGGUACUCCCAAACCUUACAACCGUAUAAAAAGGUAAACACUGAAAAAUCUUCCUCCCAUUCCAUCCAAGCCUUGUCCCUACUUGUAAAUACAGGCAAAUGAAGAUAUAUAUAUAUAUAUAUAAUAUAUUUAUAUAUUUUUAAAUUCUUCCCCCUUCUUUCACAAAAGGUGGUGCUAUUACAUAUACUCUUCUGUGUCUGGCUUUUUAAAACUAGCCGUCUGUCCUGGGGAUCUCUAUCAGCACCCCCGUUUUCCAUUGUGCGGAUGUACCCUGGUUUAUCGAGCCAGUCCCCUAUGGCUGGACCUUCGAAUUGAUGCCCGUCUUCCGCUAUUAGAAACGGUGCUGCCACAAAUAAAGGUGUCAUUUUGCUUUUGUGUAGGUGAACCUAGCGAAUUGAUUCCCGGGAGCAGGACUGCUGAAUCACAGGGCCCUGCCAUCACCCCACCCCCACCCCCACCCCCGGAAAGGUUGACUCAUUUCACUCUUUGCCCAGCAGGAUACUAGGUGGCCUGUUUCCCCACAGCCCCACCAACACAAAGCAUGUCAGCUCUCUCCUUUUCUCUCUUUCUUUCUCUCUUUCUUGCUCAUCUCUGUGGCGAGAAAUGGUGUUUAGGGUGGGUUAAAUUUUUCGAAUUAUGAGUGAGUUAGAGGUUUGGGGCCAUUUAUUUAUCUUCUCCUGUGGGCAUUUAUUGACCUUUCCUCCUGCAGCAAGCCUUUUGCCUACAUCACUGUCCACAUCUCUUAAAUACAGAUUUAAGAAUGUGAUAGCUCUUUUGGGCCUAAGGGUACAGUGGGCUGCCAAGUUGUCAGUGCAAAGUCGAGAGAAGUGGACAGUAGGGUUUUAUGCCAGUUGCUAAUGUCUGAUUGAUACAUAGUCUUCAGCUAAUGCUGUUAUUAAAUUGGGGCUUCUCCAAAGCCUUUAUGAAGACGAUCUUCUAGUUUAGAAUUUCUCCCUCUCAAACAAAAACAAAAGAGAUCCAGACUAUAUACAUCCCAAUGGCAUUUCUUGCAAAAUCUUCUAAGAAAUCUAGAUUUUUUUUCCCUUCACGUGCAUCUCCUGAAAGGUUGUACAUUAGUUUGUGUACCUGCGGAACAGAGCUACUGUUCACCUUUUAAUUUCACCAUCAGAGAGCUGUCUGCUCUUAUUUCCAGAGUGAAAGAAAGGAGGGAAGUUGAAGUAUAAUAUAAGGGGACCGGGCAGAGGUCAAGAUUUGAAGAAGAGAAUGGGGUUGGAGUUACGCAGAAUCAACUUUCUCUUAGAGAUGCUCUUUCAGUCACCUCUUCGUAUGCUCUUUUAAUAUGAAAUUAAUUUCAUUAAUUUUCAUCUUUUGAAAAAUGACAUCCAUCAAAAGAGAGAGAACUUUUGUGAAAGUGAAAAGAUGUGUGGUCAAUUUUUCUCUUUUCUUUUUUUUUAAAUUUUAUUUUGUUUUAUUGCUUUUUUUUUUUAGGGUUGCACCCUCGGCAUAUGGAGGUUCCCAGGCUAGAGGGGGAGAAUUGGAGCUGUAGCUGCCGGCCUACACCACAGCCACAGCAACGCAGGAUCCGAGCCACAUCUUUGACCUACACCACAGCUCAUGGCAAUGCUGGAUCCCUAACCCACUGAUCAAGGCCAGGGAUUGAACUUUCUUCCUCAUGGAUACCAGUUGAGCUUGCUAACCACUAAGCCACGAUGGGAGCUCUGUUUUUUGUUUUUUGUUUUUUGUUUUUUUUUCCUCUGUUUUUGGUCCUAAAGGCAUAUGGAGGUUCCCAGGCUAGGGGUCAAGUCGGAGCUACAGCUGCCGGCCUGUACCACAGCCACAGCACCACAGAAACGUGGGAGCCGAGCUGAGUCUGCGACCUACACGGCAGCUCACAGCAAUGCCGGAUCCUUAACCCACUGAGUGAGGCCAGGGAUCCAACCUCAUCAUCAUGGAUACUAGUGGAGUUCGUUUCUGCUGCUCCACAAUGGGAACUCCUAUUUU
rnacentral:lncRNA from 1 species